UACGAAGGGGGCUAGCGUUGCUCGGAUUGACUGGGCGUAAAGGGCGCGUAGGCGGUUCGUACAGUCAGACGUGAAAUUCCUGGGCUCAACCUGGGAACUGCGUCCGAUACUGGCAGGCUUGAAUCCGGGAGAGGGAUGUGGAAUUCCAGGUGUAGCGGUGAAAUGCGUAGAUAUCUGGAGGAACACCGGUGGCGAAGGCGGCAUCCUGGACCGGUAUUGACGCUGAGGCGCGAAAGCUAGGGGAGCAAACGGG
rnacentral:rRNA from 1 species